rnacentral:rRNA from 1 species
UGGGGAAUAUUGCACAAUGGGCGCAAGCCUGAUGCAGCCAUGCCGCGUGUAUGAAGAAGGCCUUCGGGUUGUGAAGUACUUUCAGCGGGGAGGAAGGCGAUAAGGUUAAUAACCUUGUCGAUUGACGUUACCCGCAGAAGAAGCACCGGCUAACUCCGUGCCAGCAGCCGCGGUAAUACGGAGGGUGCAAGCGUUAAUCGGAAUUACUGGGCGUAAAGCGCACGCAGGCGGUCUGUCAAGUCGGAUGUGAAAUCCCCGGGCUCAACCUGGGAACUGCAUUCGAAACUGGCAGGCUAGAGUCUUGUAGAGGGGGGUAGAAUUCCAGGUGUAGCGGUGAAAUGCGUAGAGAUCUGGAGGAAUACCGGUGGCGAAGGCGGCCCCCUGGACAAAGACUGACGCUCAGGUGCGAAAGCGUGGGGAGCAAACA